GGAAAACAUACACAGUCUCUUCUGGUCUCCCACAAACUUGGGAGAUGAACAUUCCCAUCUCUGUUCGGCAGAUGCAAAACCUGCUGCUCAGAGAGGGAAAAUCGUUGGCCCAACAUUGCUCAGCUUGAAAUGACUCCCUGAGAUUUGAUUCCCAGACAAGACGCUACUUCCAGGAAAUCCGCUACUCAAUGUGGAUGGAUUCCCUGUCCGGAAAGGAAACCAGAUGCCUUCACAGCAGGGAAGAGCUUGCUGCCUGACUUGCUAGCCAGGCCGCAGGGCAUGCAAGACACUCAGGCCAGAGACUGGUAUUUGAUGGUGCUGGUUGGCCCUGGAGAGGAAGGAGAGGAAUUCUGUCUGGCUUGUAUUCCACCAUUAACCUGCUCGUGCCUGGAUCUCAGUGCCUGCUAGAUGGAAACCAGAAACCCACAGAAAUCUCAGCUGUUUGUCUCAAAGCAGGAGCCAUCUGUUCAGGGAAACUUUUAACAUUGGUGCUGCUAAAAUAUUUGUUUUCGUUGUUUCUUUAAUGCCUUUAUUCAACCAAUAUGGAUUGAUUAUCUCUGUUUCCUGAGCACAGAGCAAGGUGCUAAUGACAAAGCUCUUCGAUGUUUAUUGGAUCUAGGGGUUUGGGAUGGUAAGCUUUGGAGGGCUGGUCUGCCGUCCAAAUUUCACAUCUCUCCGAUCUAUCCUGAUGCCAAGACUAAUGCAGAA